AUUUACAGAUACCAUACAUCCAAAUGGAAGCGAGUGUGUGAAUGGAAUAUGAGUGAACACACAGGAGGAAUUGGUUCCCACUUGACCAUGGUGCAGAAACACAUUCCAAACAAACACGCUCCACAUUCAUAUGUAGGCAGCCAAGCUUUGUCCGGAUUUAUUUAGGAUAGAUGUUUACAAAUUCCAGUUACAAAAUUUGAAGCUUAAUAUAAUCACAAUACUUUGAUUUGAUAUAGUUUAGGGUUUUAUCCCGGUAUGAUAUAGCAAGUGUAAUUAUACUGAAAGCGGCGACAGCAUUACUAGUAUUUUGAAUGCCAUAAGCCGGCUGUUCUGAUAAUGUGCUGUAAGGGAGAGGAGGUGACGUAAAAAUGGCAAGAGUGCAGGGCAACUUGGAUGAAAAAACUGCUGCUUGAGACAAAAGGCAGGACUAAAAAACAUCUUAGAAUACCCUGCUGCUGCAAUGCCAGAGACUGACGUGCGAUGGAUUUUUAAUGUAUAGAGUAAGUUUAUUUAUGGGUGAUGUUGUGUGACUGUGCAACUGGAUAAAUGACAAAGACAUCAAAUGAAUGAUGCAAAAGUUUAUUAGGAGUGGAU